UAGGGAAUUUUCCGCAAUGGGCGAAAGCCUGACGGAGCAACGCCGCGUGAGUGAAGACGGUUUUCGGAUUGUAAAGCUCUGUUCUGUGGGAAGAAAAAAAUGACGGUACCAUAGGAGAAAGCCCCGGCUAACUACGUGCCAGCAGCCGCGGUAAUACGUAGGGGGCAAGCGUUGUCCGGAAUUAUUGGGCGUAAAGCGCGCGCAGGCGGUUAAUUAAGUCAGGUGUGAAAGGCUACGGCUCAACCGUAGAGUUGCAUUUGAAACUGGUUAACUUGAGUGCAGGAGAGGUAAGUGGAAUUCCCGGUGUAGCGGUGGAAUGCGUAGAGAUCGGGAGGAACACCAGUGGCGAAGGCGGCUUACUGGCCUGCAACUGACGCUGAGGCGCGAAAGCGUGGGGAGCGAACAGGAUUAGAUACCCGCGUAGUCC
rnacentral:rRNA from 1 species